rnacentral:lncRNA from 1 species
UGGAUCGUGCAUUGAUCAUUUUAAGAUCUGUGUAGUCAGAUGAGUGGAGUUUGGAAUGCUUUUGAGAGCUGUGCAAGGGUCAACAUUGCAAAAGAAGAUCAAUCAUUCUUUCGUGCGAAAGAUACAACCCAAACCCUGAAGACACAGGUCGAUUGACCAGGCUGACCAGCCCCACCUGCCACCCAAACCUUUGUCGGAGUGGAUCAACUUGAAGCCUUUGUUGCCAACAACCAACAGCCAGAGCUCUCAAUUCCCUCGGGCUUUUUUCCCCAAUACUGUGUAGAAAGGAAAAGGGUGGUUUUGGCACUCCUCUCCGUCGAAUCUUGAAGACAGUUUAAGUUAGCAUACAUCAGCUCUC